rnacentral:rRNA from 1 species
GCUUAGCCCUAAACUUAGAUAAUUUAACAUAACAAAAUUAUUCGCCAGAGAACUACUAGCCAUAGCUUAAAACUCAAAGGACUUGGCGGUGCCCUAAACCCAUCUAGAGGAGCCUGUUCUAUAAUCGAUAAACCCCGAUACACCUCACCUCUUCUUGCCAAUACAGUCUAUAUACCGCCAUCGUCAGCUGACCCCAACAGGGUAAUGAAGUAAGCAGGAGUACUUGCCGUAAAAACGUUAGGUCAAGGUGUAGCAUAUGAAGAGGGAAGAAAUGGGCUACAUUUUCUACAUUAGAACAUCAACGAACUAUCUUAUGAAACUUAAGAUAUUUGAAGGAGGAUUUAGUAGUAAAUCAAGAAUAGAGAGCUUGGUUGAAAUAGGCAAUAAGGCGCGC